UGGGGAUUCGCCAAGCGGUAAGGCACCACGUUUUGGUCGUGGUAUUCACAGGUUCGAAUCCUGUAUCCCCAUCCA
rnacentral:tRNA from 2 species